GGACCUGACUGCUAUCGGAUUGAUACUAAGCCAUGUGAGUCAUUGUAGCAAUACAAGGCAGACGGCUCAGUAACACGUAGCCAAUCUACCCUAUGGACGGGGAUAACCUCGGGAAACUGAGGAUAAACCCCGAUAGAUCAUUAUGCCUGGAAUGGUUAAUGGUUCAAAUGAUUCGUCGCCGUAGGAUGGGACUGCGGCCUAUCAGCUUGUUGGUGAGGUAAUGGCCCACCAAGGCUAUUACAGGUACGGGCUCUGAGAGGAGAAGCCCGGAGAUGGGUACUGAGACACGGACCCAUGCCCUAUGGGGCGCAGCAGGCGAGAAACCUUUGCAAUGUGCGCAAGCACGACAAGGUUAAUCCGAGUGUUUCCUGCUAAAGGAAUCUUUUGUUAGUCCUAAAAACACUAGCGAAUAGGGGGUGGGCAAGUUCUGGUGU
rnacentral:rRNA from 1 species